rnacentral:rRNA from 1 species
ACUAACCUACGGAGGGCAGCAGUGAGGAAUAUUGGUCAAUGGGCGGGAGCCUGAACCAGCCACGUCGCGUGAGGGAAGACGGUCCUAUGGAUUGUAACCCUCUUUUGUCGGGGAGCAAAGAGAUCACGUGUGGUCAAAAGCGAGAGUACCCGAAGAAAAAGCAUCGGCUAACUCCGUGCCAGCAGCCGCGGUAAUACGGAGGAUGCGAGCGUUAUCCGGAUUUAUUGGGUUUAAAGGGUGCGUUGGCGGGACGGUAAGUCAGCGGUAAA